GCCGGCCUGGGAGCACCCUACUCACCGGCGUGUUGCAGGCAGGCAGGAACAUUCCCAGGAUAAAGGCUCCCAGGAGGGGACCGCUGAUGACUCCCAUGACGAUCUCCAAGCCAGGGUGAGGCCCUUCCUUCCUCCAGGCUGCCACCCUUCAACCUCCCACCUCCCAUCACCUCCAGUCCAGGUUGAUCCGGGAGUGGUUCUGGGCAACCUCAAGCAUUUGCUCGAGUCCUCCCACGAGCACGGUCCCGCGGGCCAGGACUGCCCAGAAGCCAGUCAGCAUCACCACGACCUGGAACACGUCGGUCCAG